CUAGACAGGUCACAGUGCAAGUGUGUAUUUUUUUACCAGCAGUCCAUGCCACGGGUUUGUGUUGCCUGUCUGUCCCUGCAGGUGUCUAUGUUUUUGAACCCAAUUCGACCUGAUAGAUGAUAGAAAAUUUUGUUAGAAUUUUGAGCAGGGGAACAACAUGAUUAUAUUUGUGUCUCCCUGGUAGUAGCAUGGUACAUGAGAUGGAGGAGUCAGGAAUUAGAAAUAGAGACAAGUAAGAGACUGUUAAAAUAAUCCAGAUGUGAGAGCCUGGAUGAGGGCAGCCACCGGGGACAGAUAGAAGAUUGACUUAAGAAUUAGAAGACCUGGCAGGACUUGAAGGCCUUGGCAGAGUUGGUUCUGCUUCUCCCAGUAGUCUUGUGGAGGAGAAGCCCACUGGAAAGAAAGACCAGAGCCUCUCUCUUCCCGGAAGCAGAGCUACUAAAAGGUCAGUUUUCUCAACCAAAACCACAGAAAGGAAAUAAUGACACCCUCUUCUUCUGGAUGAAGAAACCACAAAUGUGACUGAGGAGGAUUUGUGUGAAUGCUGAAGUUAAAAGAUGAUGCAACCUAGUCAUCUUGGUCCCUAAGUGAUGAUGUGGGACCGAGCCCCUUAACAACACAUAUUUGACAUGUAGUAUGAGUAAAAAAUAGACUCUUUUUAAAAAA